AAGUCAUUAUUGUGAAUUUGGAUCUAAAUGACCUGGCAGAAACCAUGGAGAUGAUCUUGGAUGUAAAGAGGAAAAACUCAAAGCAAUGUGUUCUGAUCAAGAAAUGUCUGGAAAUGGCAGCUACCUGAUAUGGAACAAUCAAGAACUGAAGGUUUAUUUUGAAUGAGAGGUGUCGUCCAACUGCAAGACGGAGUGAUUGAAGCUGAGAAUAAAUGGAAACACAAUCAAUAGUCACUCCAGUGAUGUAGGAAAGAAAGCCAUUCCGAAGUGGCAGAGAAGCUGCUUUUUCCUCCUGCAUGCUGCCUGCUAGUGUGGAUCUUGGCAUAACAGACACUACUUGGCAAAAGAUAAAAGGCCUGUGAAGCUAAAUGAAACUAGAAGCUAUAACUGUUAUCCAGAGCUGGUGACACUGGACUUCUCUCCAGGGAACCAACUGCAUCUAUUUAAAAUAAACUUUCAGAUGGAAGCCCUAAUGUACAAUGUGAUGAUAUUUGAAGAUGGAGUUUUGGGGAAGUAAUGCUUAGAUGAGGUCAUGAAGGUGGGAUUCUCAAGAUGACAUGAGUGUUCUUACUAGAGGAAGAGAGACCAGAGCUCUCUCUUUCUCUACCAUGUGAAGAUACAGUAAGAAGGAGGUCAUCUUCAAACUUGGAAGAGGACACUUACAAGAAACUGAAUCUGCUGUCAUCAUGUUCUUGGACUUUGCAAACUCCAGAACUGUGAGAAAUAAAUGUUUAUGGCUUAAGCCACCCAGUCUAUGGUAUU